rnacentral:rRNA from 1 species
CCUACGGGAGGCUGCAGUGGGGAAUAUUGGACAAUGGGGGCAACCCUGAUCCAGCCAUGCCGCGUGUGUGAAGAAGGCCCUCGGGUUGUAAAGCACUUUCAGUGAGGAAGAACGCCUGGUGGUUAAUACCCAUCAGGAAAGACAUCACUCACAGAAGAAGCACCGGCUAACUCCGUGCCAGCAGCCGCGGUAAUACGGAGGGUGCGAGCGUUAAUCGGAAUUACUGGGCGUAAAGCGCGCGUAGGUGGCUUGAUAAGCCGGUUGUGAAAGCCCCGGGCUCAACCUGGGAACGGCAUCCGGAACUGUCAAUCUAGAGUGCAGGAGAGGAAGGUAGAAUUCCCGGUGUAGCGGUGAAAUGCGUAGAGAUCGGGAGGAAUACCAGUGGCGAAGGCGGCCUUCUGGACUGACACUGACACUGAGGUGCGAAAGCGUGGGUAGCAAACAGGAUUAGAUACCCUAGUAGUC